rnacentral:lncRNA from 1 species
AUGGUCUUGUAGGGCUUGAUCUCUCGGACGAAAGCAAAAGAUGAAGACAUGGUAAGGUAUGCAUUUUGCAAUGAUGAGUUUUUUGUUUGAUGGCAAUUGUAAACGAAGUGGUACUAUAUAUAUAUUCAAAGGAAGGACUACGUUUAGGGUUUUACACUUGGAAAAUAAGUUUUCAAUCUUUGAUUCGCAAUUGUUAAAUUUGGAAUAUAGAUUGAUUUAGAAUAAGUUACGGAUCGUAAUAUCAGUGUGAUUCUUAUUUUUGAGUGAUUGGCUCAACUUGCUCUUUUUUGUAAUUAUAAUUAAAUAAUUAGAUCAAGAAAUUGCCUAUUUUGAUGAGAUACGGCUUGUAACAGAUUUAAUGUGAUUAAUAUUCCCUGUAUGCAAUCACUCUAUGUAAUUAUGAUGUAUUUAAUCUACGUUUUUUGGUAUUGUUUUCAGCCUUUGUAUUAUUUUAAUGGGCUUUCCUAUAACUUGUUUAAUAGAUUGGAUUAGAGCAAAGGCAAUAAAAAAACUAACGAAGUAACGGAUCUUCUACUUGACGGCCCACACGUCAGACACCAAAGUAACGGAUCUUCUAAUUGGGUCGGAAAUACACGCGGAUCUUCAUAGCUUAUAGGCGAUUUUGAUUCAGUUAUUUAAUACCAAUUAUGUCUUUGCUUGAUUUCAAUAUUCUUUCUCCUUUGUUCAAAAUUGAAAAUCAAUUUCAAUUUCUU